CUCUUAAGCUGGUCUCCGGCUCACUUGACUCCAAAGUCUUCGCUCUUAGACUACGGGAAUGCGGUGGCAGGGAGGGACACAAAGCAGCGACAAGGACUUGGCGAAUGAGAGAUCCAGGACGACAGGCUCACCAGGUGCUUGCUAGAAAGGCGGAGGGGAAAGAAGACUCCAGGAGGGUGAAUAAGCCAUCCCGACCCAGGGGAAGGUGAUGACCCCAAGGACUAGAAGGUGAACAACAGAAGGAAGAGACCUGGAUCCAUGCUCUGAAGAUGACACGCUGUUACCAAUUCACUGACUUGGGUCCUCUGGCUCUAGGGGUAGAAAUGGACAGAACCUGUGAGACAUCAAGAAGCUAGCGCUUCAGGGGCCGAGCGCUAUAGCCCUCCGAAUUUGACAGCAGCGAACUAGUGGCGCCCUCUAGUGUUAGCUCUUGCUUACUUGCAGCUUCUGGGUAGGCAUUCCAGUCCUCUCCUUCAGCCCCUGCUUCACUACUCUUCCCACGGCCUCCCAAGCUGCUGUUGUUGCUGACUGCUGCCGCCCAUGCUGCCCUUUGAAAAGCAGCUACUGCUAGACUCUUCCUUCCUGUUUCUCUGUUUUGGCUGAAGUUAGAGUUGUCAAGCAGCCUCGGCCCCUCUGCUUCUGCAGCUCCGGCUGCCACGCCUCUGCCUUUGCUCCACUGUUCCCGCUACUUUCUCUUCGUUUUCAGCUCAGCCUGCACUGCUAACUGUGAGCAAGAUAAGACACCAACAGAAGCCUCUUGUUGGGCCUCAUGUAGUAACACUAAGGCAAAUAGCACAAGACUGAGCCUUCCAGCCAAUUCGCUGAGUGGAACGCCCCGCUUAUAUAGAGCGAGAAAGUGUACCAGUCACAGCACACCUCCUGUGCAAAUGACAACUUGUUCUUGCACCAGUCACAGCCUGUUUUAACAUUUUGUGCUUAUAUUUAUUACACGUGUUUGAAGUGUAUUGCGCCAUGUGCUUGUCUGGUGCCCAUGGAAGUCAGAAGAGGGCACUGGAUCCCCUGGCCACCGUGUGGAUGAUGGAAACCAAACCCAGGUCCCCCGCGAGAGCCACGAGUGCUCUCAGGCACUGAGUCAUCAUUCAAGCCCCUGCGUCCUGUUGCUUAGCACCCAUCACUGCAGUCCUCUGCAUCCCUCUGCCAGGCUACCAAAAGAAGCUCUCCUCCUCUGACCUGGGUAUAAACAGUUGCAGGAUCAUCUAGAAUCCAGAGGUUGGUGACAGCAAAAUGUCUGGUGUGAACUGUUUCGAACACCCUUAACUGAAGCCGAGCCUUCAGGAGCUGGGAGCAAUCAACUUUGAUCAUCCUGGCGUUUGCUCUAGACAGCCACGGACGAGACAGCCAGUGCUGGUGUAAGGACAGUAGUCUGACAGGCUAUUUGUCUGACAGUCCUUUUGCUCAAGGCAGCCAGGGUAGCAAGGGAGAGCCCCAUAGCUGCCAAUUAGGGAGUCAAUUAGGAAAAUUAUAGGAACACGGACUUCAGAAGAUGUACUUAGGCCAAGGACUCAUGGUUAACACUAAUAGUAGUUUUUCAGAGUUUAAGAGUGCUGAACACCUACCUGCCCAGUGCCCCAGGCAAGGAGCACCUGUGCAGGUAGUCGGUCUGCUGGAGGCUGAAGAGGGAGCCAGAGGUCCUGCGCCAAGGUACACUUACCUCUCCCUCAAUAAAGAAAACCCAGAGCACGAACCUCCCCCAAUAUCAAGACUGGAACCACUGAGGCCAUUCAGAAUGGCAAGUCCCAGCUGAUCAGCAGAUAGCGUCAUCAGAGAAGGCACCACCUCCUGGGGCAUCUCAACAGUGGGCCAGACAGGCACGCAGUCAGUGUUAGUAACGGGAAGCCCCAAGCCCAGAGUCUCUCCACACAAAUGCUUCAAACUCCUGCAGCCCUGAACCCUGACAGACUCUUCCAAGCUUCAAGACUGUCAACCCUGACCUACGUUGCCUUCCCACAGACUGAGGAAUCUUCCUCCUGGCUCAGAGGCAGGUGAGCGAGGUCCACCUGUUCCUGAGACUCUGGGCAGGUGUUGGCCAUAUGUUUAUGGGACCCUUUCCCUCCUGCUGGAUUGCCUCGUCCAAGCCUUUAUAGGAAGGUUUGUGCUCACUCUUAUUGCAUCUUGUCAUGCUAGGUUAGGUUGAUAUCACUAACAGGCCUGCUCAUUUCUGAAGGGAAAUGCAGGGGCAGUGGAUCUGAGGGAGAAAGGAGGUGGUUGUGACAGGCACCUGAGAGGAGGGAGUGGAGGCUGCAGUU